UACUUUCUCAUCCUUUGUAAUAGAUAUUAACACAUACAUUACACUUAUUUUCAUGGCAGUCUUUUUUAUUUAGGCUCAUCAUGGAGAAUGGAAGAAGAGGUAACUGAGUAUUCUAUGAAGUAUCAUUGCUUUUGGGUGAAGAAAAUUCACUUUUUUGGGGGGAAAGAAUUUCCAGGAGGGAUUAGCUUCUAAGAGAAGGUGGGAUGUUGUGAAGAAAGCUGUCUAGGAGACAAACCCAUACAGAUAAAAGGAAGAGGAUACUGUCCGAGAAGAAGCAUGCUUGGAUUCUACUGUGGACUUUUCCCAUUGUGUUUCUUGGUCAUUCGAACCAUAAGAAAUAUUAGAAGAAAAUUAACAUCAAAGCUGAUUGUCUUGAAGGAACUGGAGGAGGGAUACAUUAGGUAAUAAUGACAUUAAAAUGUGUUUAAAAAAAACACCUUCACUGGUCUAACUGUUCUACUGUAGAUUUCAUCCUAUAUUUUUCCUCCCUCAUAGUCAAACUCCUAGCAAAUUCUGCUUAUAGUCAUGGUCUUCCCUUUUUCAGCUCUAACUUGAUUCCUAAAACCUUGCAAUUUAACUUCUGACCCAAUCACUUAACUGAAACUAUUCUUUCCAAAGUCAUCACUGAUCUCCUUGUUGUUGAACUGAAUGGGCUUCCUAUCAAGAUUGAGACCAAGAUGGAAGGUAGACCACCAAGUUGCCAUAGUCAAGCAAAAAUCUGACAUUUUCAUCAAACCUGAUAAAGAUAAAGAUAUCCAAUAGGAAUUUACAGGAAGUCCUUUUCCCACCAAAAUUGCAAAAAGAGUUAUUUAGAAGAUCCCAGACAAUAGAAACAGGGACCCAUCAUCAAAGAAAACAACAGUACAGAGCAACCUUGAGGUGAUAUCAAAGAUUGCCAGUGAUACAUGAAAUCUGCCCAGUUUUGUGUCCAGAACCUGCCAGAGUAGAAAGACUCCUGAGGAAAACUCACCUUAGGUAUGGCUCAUUUGUAGAGCAUCCUUAGAAAGGUAUAACAGGGUACUUACUACAAAAUGUUUGCCAGGUAUAUCACAGCAAUUUAUUUCUUCUACCAUAAAAAAUAAUAACAACACAAAUGAUUCCAAGACUCACAAUUAAAAUGCAGAAAAGCAUAAAACAAUAACCCAUAACAUUCAUUAUACCCUCCUGACAGGUGAAGGUAAGUUUGUGGGACUGCUGAAUAGAUGUUUUACUUUCACCCCAGACCUGCACUGUCUGAGCAACUCACAAGAUCCAAAUCUCACGGCUAGCCUGCACAUGAAUUAGGUUUGAUUUAGUCCUUUCACUGAAGAAUCCUGCUGGAAGUGGUGCUCUUUUCCUCCAAGAAGUGAUCCUGUUUGCUGAACUUUUGGCACCCACCCCCAUAACUCUCAAACUUUCCAACUCA
rnacentral:lncRNA from 1 species